rnacentral:rRNA from 1 species
CCUACGGGUGGCAGCAGUGAGGAAUAUUGGUCAAUGGACGAGAGUCUGAACCAGCCAAGUAGCGUGAAGGAUGACGGCCCUAUGGGUUGUAAACUUCUUUUAUAUGGGAGUAAACUGUUCCACGUGUGGGAUUUUGUAUGUACCAUAUGAAUAAGGAUCGGCUAACUCCGUGCCAGCAGCCGCGGUAAUACGGAGGAUCCGAGCGUUAUCCGGAUUUAUUGGGUUUAAAGGGAGCGUAGGUGGAUGGUUAAGUCAGUUGUGAAAGUUUGGGGCUCAACCGCGAAAUUGCAGUUGAAACUGGCAGGCUUGAGUGCAGUAGAGGUGGGCGGAAUGCGUGGUGUAGCGGUGAAAUGCUUAGAGAUCACGAAGAACGCCGAUUGCGAAGGCAGCUCACUGGGCUGCAACUGACGCUGAGGCUCGAAAGUGUGGGGAGCAAACAGGAUUAGAUACCCGGGUAGUC